ACGGAAGGCAGCAGUGGGGAAUAUUGCACAAUGGGCGCAAGCCUGAUGCAGCAACGCCGCGUGAGGGAAGACGGUCUUCGGAUUGUAAACCUUUGUCUUUGGUGAUGAAGAAAGUGACGGUAGCCAAGGAGGAAGCCACGGCUAACUACGUGCCAGCAGCCGCGGUAAUACGUAGGUGGCAAGCGUUAUCCGGAUUUACUGGGUGUAAAGGGAGCGCAGGCGGGACAGCAAGUUGGAUGUGAAAUACCGAGGCUUAACCACGGAGCUGCGUCCAAAACUGUUGUUCUUGAGUGAAGUAGAGGUAGGCGGAAUUCCGAGUGUAGCGGUGAAAUGCGUAGAUAUUCGGAGGAACACCAGUGGCGAAGGCGGUCUACUGGGCUUUAACUGACGCUGAGGCUCGAAAGUGUGGGGAGCAAACAGGAUUAGAUACCCUGGUA
rnacentral:rRNA from 1 species